GUUUUCUCAUGGAAAUAAAAACCUAAGUAACUGAACCUUCUCAGACUGUGAGUGCCAUAAUUCAGUCAGGACACAGUAUUUGUUCUCAGAAUGCAGUCAACAACUAACUUUUAGAUGCCUCAAAUGGAGAAGACACAGGGGAACGCCCCCAGAAAAGAAAAUCAGCAAAGCUUAAAUGUGAAGGAAUCAGUGUGGGGAAGAGAGAAGUAACCAGAGAUUUCAGUGUUCACAAACUUUAACUCAAAUCUGUUAUUUGAAGAGCUUAUAACUGUUAUUUGAGCAGCUUAUAACUGACAGUGUUUUAGCUUAAAGAGAAAUCCUACAACAAAGAGAAAUUUUUAAAUUAGAACUUAUAAAUCCUUUUUUCUCAGAAGAUAGAGCUUUACAGUUAUAUUGAACUUAUGGAGUGUUUCUAAGAAAGUAAAGAGCAAGCCAAGUGACUUCCUGGCUGUGAAGGUUUGAUGGAGUAAGAAAAAACAAAUCUAAGUGAGGCCCCGGUGCAUGCUUGGAAGGACUUCAGCCCUGAACUAUCAUACUAGCCUUUGAAAUACCUUCUGGAACUACAGGAUCGCAAUCACGAUACUAUUUCUGGGAGUGCCGAAACAGAUGCGGAUAAGUAAAUUAAACUAUGGAUAUCUAGUCUUCAGACACACA